rnacentral:rRNA from 1 species
CAUGGAGAGCUUGCUCUCUGAUGACGAGUGGCGGACGGGUGAGUAAGGCGUAGGAAUCUGCCCAACAGUGGGGAAUAACCUGGGGAAACCCAGGCUAAUACCGCAUACGCUCUGUACUUAGGUAGAGAGGAAAGCCGGGGGCCCUUUUCGAAGGCCUCGCGCUGAUGGAUGAGCCUACGUCCGAUUAGCUAGUUGGUAGGGUAAGAGCCUACCAAGGCGACGAUCGGUAGCUGGUCUUAGCGGAUGAUCAGCCACACUGGGACUGAGACACGGCCCAGACUCCUACGGGAGGCAGCAGUGGGGAAUAUUGGACAAUGGGGGCAAACCCUGAUCCAGCAAUGCCGCGUGUGUGAAGAAGGCCUGCGGGUUGUAAAGCACUUUCAGUGGUGAGGAAAGCUCACGCGUUAAUAGCGCGGGAGGGUGACGUUAGCCACAGAAGCAGCACCGGCUAACUCCGUG